rnacentral:rRNA from 1 species
CCUACGGGAGGCUGCAGUGGGGAAUAUUGCACAAUGGGGGAAACCCUGAUGCAGCGACGCCGCGUGAGCGAUGAAGUAUUUCGGUAUGUAAAGCUCUAUCAGCAGGGAAGAAAAUGACGGUACCUGACUAAGAAGCCCCGGCUAACUACGUGCCAGCAGCCGCGGUAAUACGUAGGGGGCAAGCGUUAUCCGGAUUUACUGGGUGGAAAGUGAGCGUAGACGGCGGUGCAAGCCAGAUGUGAAAGCCUGGGGCUCAACCCCGGGACUGCAUUUGGAACUGUGCUGCUAGAGUGUCGGAGAGGCAGGCGGAAUUCCUAGUGUAGCGGUGAAAUGCGUAGAUAUUAGGAGGAACACCAGUGGCGAAGGCGACCUGCUGGCCGAUGACUGACGUUGAGGCUCGAAAGCGUGGGGAGCAAACAGGAUUAGAUACCCGGGUAGUC